rnacentral:tRNA from 1 species
GCCUGGCUGACUCAAUUGGUAGAGCAUGCAACUCUCAAUCUCAGGGUCGUGAGUUCAAGCCCCACGUUGGGCA